UGGGGAAUUUUGGACAAUGGGGGAAACCCUGAUCCAGCCAUCCCGCGUGUGCGAUGAAGGCCUUCGGGUUGUAAAGCACUUUUGGCAGGAAAGAAACGUCAUGGGUUAAUACCCCGUGAAACUGACGGUACCUGCAGAAUAAGCACCGGCUAACUACGUGCCAGCAGCCGCGGUAAUACGUAGGGUGCAAGCGUUAAUCGGAAUUACUGGGCGUAAAGCGUGCGCAGGCGGUUCGGAAAGAAAGAUGUGAAAUCCCAGAGCUCAACUUUGGAACGGCAUUUUUAACUACCGGGCAGGAGUGUGUCAGAGGGAGGUGGAAUUCCGCGUGUAGCAAUGAAAUGCGUAGAUGUGAGGAGGAACACCGAUGGCGAAGGCAGCCUCCUGGGAUAACACUGACGCUCAUGCACGAAAGCGUGGGGAGCAAACAGG
rnacentral:rRNA from 1 species